GAUUAACGCUAGCGGCAGGCAUAAUACAUGCAAGUUGAACGGCAGCACAGGUAGCAAUACUGGGUGGCGAGUGGCGCACGGGUGCGUAACACGUAUGCAACCUACCCUAUACAGGCGAAUAACCUUUAGAAAUGAGGGCUAAUACGCCGUAGUAUUACAGCUGGGCAUCUAUUUGUAAUUAAAGAUUUAUCGUUAUAGGUUGGGCAUGCGUCCCAUUAGUUAGUUGGUAAGGUAACGGCUUACCAAGACGAUGAUGGGUAGGGGAUCUGAGAGGACUUACCCCCACACUGGUACUGAGACACGGACCAGACUCCUACGGGAGGCAGCAGUAAGGAAUAUUGGGCAAUGGCCGCGAGGCUGACCCAGCCAUGCCGCGUGCAGGAAGACGGCCUUAUGGGUUGUAAACUGCUUUUAUACGGGAAUAAUAGAGUGUACGCGUACAUUUAUGCAAGUAUCGUAUGAAUAAGCAUCGGCUAACUCCGUG
rnacentral:rRNA from 1 species